GGCGGAGCCUGGUGGGCUGCCGUCUAUGGGGUCGCACCAAGUUGGACACGACUGAAGCUUCAAAGCAGCAUCAACUUAACCAUAACUGUGAGCUUUGGGUCUAUAUGGGACAAGUAUAGUUUUCCUCUGUGGUUUGAUAUGUCCUAAUUUGCCUUCUAGUAAUUUCUCCUUCCCUUAGAAGGCACAUGGUGUCCAGGAGUCUCCAGAGGCUGUUCUGCUCAUUUCCUGUGUCGCCAUGUCCUGGUGCAAAUAUGGCCGCAAUGCGGGGUUAGAGCAAGUCAUCCAGGAGAUUUUUCCACACCUCAAGAUAUGAGGGCAAAGGAGCAAGUAGUCACCCACCACUGCAAGCACAGACAUUGCCCUUGACCAGUGGUUUCUGUAUGAGUGUCCUAGGGCUGCUGUAACAAAGUGCCACAAACUAGGUAGCUCAGAACAACAGAAAUGCAUUGUCUUACAGUCCAGAGGCCAGAAGUUCAAAAUCGAGGUGUCAGCAGGCUCCCUCUGAAAUCUCUUCUCAGCCUCUGGUGGCUUCAGGCAGUUCAUGGGGUCCUUUGGCUUGUAGAUGCAUUACUCCAAUCUUCCUUCCUCAUGUGGCCCUCUCUCUGUAUCUCUGCCUUCAUGUGACAGCUUCUGUUAAGGAUACCAGUCAUGUGGCUUUGUACUGCCCUACUGCAUGACACCUCAUGUUCACUGAGUGCAUCUUGCCCUGACCCUACUUCCAAAUACUGUAAGAUCAUAUUCUGAGGCCCUCGAGGUUGGGACUUCGACACAUCUUUCUUUAGAGAGCCACAAUCAACCCACAGCAAUCUCACUCUCUCUCUUUUUUUUAACAUUUAUUUAUUUAUUUGGCUGCACCAAGGCCUAGGGAUCUUUAAUUGUGGCAUUCGAACUCUUAGCUGCAACAUGAAGGAUCUAGUUCCCUAACCAGGGAUCAAACCCAGGCCUCCUGCAUUGGGAGCGCAGUCUUAGUCCCAGGACUACUAGGGAAGUCCCUGUCUUAACUCUUCCAUAGUGCAUCUCUGUCAGUAAAAGUAUUAAAUGCUCCAUUAUUUGUUUGCUUAUUUACGUGCAUGUUAUAAUGUAAUUCCAUAUAAAAACAAUGUACAUUGGAAGAUCAUCUGACCCUUAUUCAAGGUUAGGGAAACCUGUUGGUUCCUUUUUAGUGGCAACUACAUGAUAGCCUGUGCUCUUGCAUUUUUUGAAAUCUUGGUUUAAAUCUUGGUGGAAUAUGAAGUCACAGGUCUGAUUCUAGGUUCUGUUUAUUUUGAAACUUUGACAGCUCUCAUAGUUGAAAAAGAUACAUUACAAAGAUAGGUGACAUCUUAAACUGUCCUUAAUAAACCAUAAAAGUAAUUUUUUUUCAUUCUCAUCUACCAAUUAUUUGAAGAACUUUGUUAAUUAAAUUUCUAACUUUUAUAAUAAAUGUCAAGCAAUUGUCUUAAAAAUAAUCGUAAGAUCUUGCUUUUUAAUGUUUUUAACCAGAGUGUUCAGGAUUUCAUCAAAUUCUUCAUUUGGGGAAGAUUUCAAACAUGUCAGAUAAUCUUGUCAUCACAUUACAUCAAGGGUCCCGGGUGGUCCCAUCAGGGCUUGCAGGGGAUUGGGAGGUGAGGAUUCCCCACUCUCCCUUGAGGAUACAUUUCUUA